UGAUUAAUAGGGACAGUCGGGGGCAUCAGUAUUCAAUUGUCAGAGGUGAAAUUCUCGGAUUUAUUGAAGACUAASUACUGAGAAAGCAUUUGCCAAGGACGUUUUCAUUAAUCAGGAACGAAAGUUAGGGGAUCGAAGACGAUCAGAGACYGUGGUAGUCUUAACCAUAAACCAUGCCGCCUAGGGAUCGGACGAUGUUAUUUUUUGACGCGUUUGGCCCCUUACGAGAAAUCAAACUUCUUGGGCUCCAGGGGGAGUAUGGUCGCAAGGCUGAAACUUAAAGAAAUUGACGGAAGGGCACCACCAGGGGUGGAGCCUGCGGCUUAAUUUGACUCAACACGGGGAAACUCACCAGGUCCAGACACAAUGAGGAUUGACAGAUUGAGAGCUCUUUCUUGAUUUUGCGGGUGGUGGUGCAUGGCCGUUCUUAGUUGGUGGAGUGAUUUGUCUGCUUAAUUGCGAUAACGAACGAGACCUUAACCUGCUAAAUAGCCUGUAUUGCUUUGGCAGUACGCCGGCU
rnacentral:rRNA from 1 species